rnacentral:rRNA from 1 species
UACGUAGGGUGCGAGCGUUAAUCGGAAUUACUGGGCGUAAAGCGUGCGUAGGCGGUUCGUUAAGUUCGUUGUGAAAGCCCCGGGCUCAACCUGGGAAUGGCAAUGGAAACUGGCGGGCUGGAGUAUGGCAGAGGGGGGUGGAAUUCCGCGUGUAGCAGUGAAAUGCGUAGAGAUGCGGAGGAACACCAAUGGCGAAGGCAGCUCGCUGGGACGGUACUGACGCUGAGACGCGAAAGCGUGGGGAGCAAACAGG